AGGGAAGGCUGACCUUGCCAAGCUGAGUUACCUGAGUGCAUCCACCUUUUUCGGGUAUAUUAACACAACUGGAGUUGGAAUUUCAACUCAAAAGUCAGAGAGAUGAAGCCAUCGACAGUAUUACAUAAUUUGUGCAUGGCAACAUAGCUGGAGAGGAAAUAACAUCUGCAAAAGAAGAAAAUGCAGGCGUUUGAGUAAAGUGGCAGUGUGUUUACCACUUAGGCAAGCUGUUAAUUAGAUACGUUGGCGUGAUUUAGUUAAGUCCUUCUGCCCCCACCACUUUUUAAAAAAAGUUUUAAAUCGAUUUCUUAGAGCUAAAAGGUAUCCAGUUUAGCAAAAACAGUAGGAAAUUGUUUUGGGAAGGUAUAUUUAUUCAUCUUAGGGAAUGUGUUUCAAAGAAGUAAAUAGGCCAUAUUGUUCUUCCUCUCCACAGCAAAGGAUACAGUGGCCCCAGGAGUGAUGGGGCAGAAUCGAGGUCGCCUUGCCUGGGGGCAAGUUUUGAAAGUUCAGACAAAAACCUAUAAAUCGAAGUUGUAAGCUGUGAGGUUGAAACAUUCUAAAUGAUUUGCACAAAGGCAGUCUGCCGCAGGCACUCAAAAGAGUCAGUCCCAAUCUGGGGGUCAAGGGACGCUCCCUGUUUUACUGAUGGAGAAAGUGAGCCCAGAGCUUAACGACACACUCAGGAUCCUGCCCUGGCACCGGAGGAGACUCUCCCAGGGCUGGGGGAAGGCAGAUGAGCCUCUCUCCAGCACAGAGUCUAGUAUAAACUCAAAGUAAUUUAUCUGAAGAAAUGAAAGGCCUGCUAACAACCAAGAGAUAAAAGAUCUAGAAUGAAGGUAGGAAUCAGGAUGAUGUGCAAGCAAACUAACCUCGACCUGGGACUUCUCUAAAGGAGCUUUGCACAGCCCUCUCAAGCUAUGUAAAUCUCUUGUUAUAUAAGCCCAGUCACUUGAUUGACAGAAACGGGGCAAGGCCAGAUGUUAGGGGGCGGAGUUCUCAUCAAACAAACUGCCUGGCUUUGAGUACAGUCUAAGACAAAUCUAAGCAAAACAAAAACAAAACCCCUCAAACCGAAAACCGAAAACCAAACAGAAAACCAACCAAACGUAUCAGACAACUAAGAAUAUCUUCUACAGCAAUUAACCGGCCCACCCCUCCUGGUAUCCCUGGCUUAGAAUUCUGAGAGCUUCAAAAAAUUGUGCUGAACAAGGAGGGACCGCUGCUUAAUCAGGUCUUACCGAAUAUUUUGGCUGAUUUAACUUUUUUCUACCUCACUGCCCCUUUCCAGUGACAUUGUGGGCUUCACUUUCCAGUGCCAGCAUGCCGAACUGGUAGUGGACGUCCUGAACAGCUGUACACCAGCUUUGAUGAAAUUACAGAUCAUUCUAUGUCUACAAAAUGAGAUGAUCGGAGAUGCAUGUGCUCCUGAAAGGGGAAAGUUGGCAAGUGUGUGACACUCACAGUGUCCCAUCUACUGCCUGGGCCCCCUCCUGUCAUGCGGCUGCAGGAAGGGAGCAGCUGGAACCAUCCUACCCUCCCCCACCCCACUUUGGACCCAGCUUCUAAACCUCGGAUCACUUGAACACCCUCAGGGUCCACCUGGAGAGGAAAGCCCCCCAGAGAGCUAGACUCUGGCCUGUCCUUCCUGGUGUACUGGUCCCACAGCCGCGGACCUGGAAAUAGGAGAAGGACCAAGUACUCCAAAGGUGUUUGUCCAAGACGCAGUGGCUUAGCGAAGGACGGUCUUCUCAUUGAGCUGAGAGCCGGGCGCCCCAGAGAGUCCACGGCAAGGUCCUCAGGAACUGGAAGAGGAACAGGUGGAGAAUUUGGUGUGCAGUUUGAGAUGAGAGUCUGAAGCUCCAAGGGGAGGCUUGGGCUGGAGACACGAUUUGCAAGUCGUCAGAAUACCUACAGCCUACACACCUGCAGGAAAUUACAGGAGGGGGGUUCAACAGGAAAGCAGACAAUGAUGUCAAACAUCUCAGGGCAGUCAAGUAAGAAAGAACCAACUGCCCACUGGCUUUAACAAUGAGGAGGUCAUUGACAGCCUUCGGAUAAGCGGUUUCUGUGGAUCUGCAGUGGCAGAAGCCAAAUCAUAUUUGUUGCAAGGUUGGAUGGACAGCAAGAUGUGGCAAAGCUGAAUGGAGAUGACUCCAGAAGUCUGGAUAAAAAGAAAUAAAGACAACAACAGAGUGACAGCUCAAGGAGGCUGCAGGAUGGUGGGAGUUUUGUUUACUGUUUUUAGGUCUGAAGAGACUUGAACAUGAUUAAGUGAUAAUGAGAAGAAACCAGUAGUAGUGAAAAGCUGAAGAAACAGGAGAACAAAUGUAUCAUUCACAGGACAAAUUUCUGGUUGGAAAUAGGAAAGAGUAAAUCAAGAGCACUUUGGUGAUUCUGGUCUUGAAGCAACCAUCCUCCAAGACACCAGGGAAGGAAGGAUAUAUUUGUGAGUGGAGGGCAGGGAACUGAGGGAGCUCAUACCUCGUCAUCUCAAUUUUAUCAGUUAAAGAAAGUGAGGCUACUUGAGGUGGGCUGGGGAGUAUGAGAAAAGUGACAAAAGUUUGAAGCUACCCUGGAGAAGAGGGUUUUCCGACUAAUGAAACUGGCAAGGUUGGCUAGAAGCACUGGAGGUCCAGUUGAGACUGGAAAUCCUAAAUGCCUAGUAGCCCCAUUCCACCCCACUGUGUUUCUUUCUCUUAAUGCUUGGCUGCGAGCAUGCAGAGCUGGAAAAGACAGAUCAAUUUGGGUUAAUUCAGGGUUGGGAAUUUAUAAGAUGGGGGUAAUAGCAGGACAAAAGGAUGAGGAGGCUGGGUUUUCUAGGUAGAAAGUAGGUGAAGGGAUGCAUCAUGGGAUCUGGGCAGAAGGGGGAAAGAUAAAGCAGGAAAGGACUGACGCGAAGCGAAAAACUGAGAUAAAAUACUCAAGUUGAUGAAGAUCUUGUGAAGUCAAAGAACAGGCAGGGUCAGAGAAGGGCUGGAAAGGCGGUCUGGAAAGACAAAGCAUGAUCAAGAGACUGCCUACGCUCAGACAUGUUUCCCAAAACACUUUACCUCUGUUUCCGCAUUGUGCUGUGAAAUUGAAAAGUGCAUCACAAAUGAAAACAUGAAUGUCUGGUGAGUUGUUUGUUACUUUGUAUUAACUUUGCCCUUGGCUCUCUUCCCUAUGAUAAUCUAGUUCUCUUUUCACUGACAGAGGAAAAUGUGGACCAGGUUUUAAGAGUAUUAUUUCUCUAACUUUGUAGAGUAUAAUUUUCUCUAAUGAUUUCUCUAACUCUUAGUGUUGACCAUUUUAUAUGUAUAUGUGUAUUAUUACUAUUUCAUUUGUAUUUUAAAUGUAUAAUCUUGGGAAGGAAACCAGUGUUUUCUCUUUCAGCCAGCACCUGUUAUAGGGAUAAGCAGGACUUCAAUAAUCUGCUUUCUCCGGCUUUGUCGUUCCCCUAAAUUUAAGUUGGUUAUAAGAAAAAUGAUAGGUUAUAUAAACCUCAAGAGGACAGAUCACAUCAAUAGAGCCCACAUGACAAGGGACUAAUGGUAACAAAGUGGACCCAUGGGAUGAUGGAGGAUGUCAGGGAGGCUGUGCACACCGUUGUGACCUAGAUUGGAGCCGAACCUAAAAGCUAGUUAGGUAGGCACCGUUUAGAUGGGCGUUGCGUGUAAAUAAGGUGUGGGUCACCUCCACUCCAUCUAAGGCUGCUUCCGUUGUGCUUUUGGAAGCGAUGUUAAGAAUUAAGCAGGUGUAUAAUUUGAACAUAGUUCAGUAGGAACACAAAUACUUCAUUUGUUAUGCCUCAUUUUGCUAAAUACGUAUUUAGCAAGCACACAGAUGAGGUUGAAAAAGCAAUUUCGGGCAACGGAUUAGAAUCCCAUUUGCAGAGCAAGUUAACCUAAGAAAUUUUGUUAGUCAGUAGAACUAAGGUGCUUCUCAAGAACCGUGUUCAAUUGUUUUGUAACUGGACAGAAUAAAGAUGGAGUUGACACAUGUGUAUCGGCCACCAGGAUCUACCAAAAAAAAAUAGCAGAAGAAAGAAAAUGAGCAAGGAUUUAUCACUGGGUCUCCACACACAGGGUGCUCAGACCAGCUGGCAAGAAGAUUCUUGUCCCUUUGUCAAGUAUAUUCCUGCAAGAUUGAAAAUAGGGAGCGUGUCUGGUCCAUAGUAGGUGCUUAGUUAAGAGGCAGGUCUGUUCUCAUUGCCUUCCCUUUGGUGGAGGUUGUAUUGCUGGUCCCCACAUCUCAAGGCAUUAACAUUGUCUAAUUCCCGUGCUCUCAGUCCAUGCUCAUCAAGCCACCUGCUAAUGGUAAUUUGCCUUCCUGUGUAGACUUUUCUAAAAAAGAGCAACUCCCCAGCAUGCUGACUUAAAUAUUCCAGUUCGCUUAGCAGUUUUAUCUUUCCUUGCAAUUCACGAAAUAAUAUUUCACUUUAUUUACCAGUCUCAUGAGAUGGCUAAUUAGAGUAAGUUGCUGUCCCUGAUUCUGAUGAAUUUGGGAAGAAAAAUGUAAAAUUUUCCACCUUUAAAGAUGAUGAGCAGGUCUGGCUUCCACAGAAACACUGCGUUUCAGAGAGAUCCCGUGUGAUCUACUGUGAACCUCUCUCUUUGACAUUUUUUUUCUGUUUUAACAAAUGCCAUGUAUACCUUCUCAAAUCAUUAGGUUUCAGUGCCCAGAAUUCCACUAACUUGCCUGUAACUGAAGUAGCCUUGACCACGGUAAGGGGUCUUGUGUGGAGGCAGUGGGACUGAAACUUUGGUCUCAGCUGGAAUGCUUGUGAAAAUGCAUAUUGCAGGCUGCCCCCUAGAGAUGAGUCUGCAUUUUUAGCAUAACUGAUUCUGAUACACGUAGUCAACAGACCCCACUUUGAGAAACGGCUUUAGAUGGGGGCGCUAGCUCUCUUAUGGCCAUGGGCUCUAGCAAGGGAUAUUUUCUGUUCUGAGAGCCAUGGGUUCCUCCUUCUAACCAGAGUGAAGUCUGAUGCACCCAGAGGAAAGGAAGUGGGGGGAAGUAAAGCCAGUGUGGAAUAACAGCAGAGAGGAAUAAAUGGUGGUGACCUGGGAAAGGAGCUGGAAGACUCUUUUCUGGAACCCCAGCUGUUUGCCUGAGCCCAGUUCGGGUCAUGGAGUGAGAGAGUUUGUCUGCCUAACAGGUUGGACUUGUUUAAAGGGAUGUUUUCCUUUCAUCUGGCAAAGGCUCCUUUGGCAAAAGGCAGAUAGUAAUCACGAUAGCAUGCAGUGUUGUAAAUGUGUAUGUGGCACUAAGUCUACUUUCUCUUGUCCUAGCAGCCGACAGUAUUGGAAUUCUCCAAAUUCAGUGCCAGAAGUCUUUAUUUACUGGCAUUUGGCAAUCUUAUCCAGAGAAUCAUAGAGUGCUAGAGCCAGGGCUAAUUCGCAGAGCACGGUGGAACCCCAUGUUAAAGAUGCAGAAGUUGAAGCGGAGGGAAGACGAGUGAUUCACCAGGUCCCACAGCCUCGUGGAGGAGGAGCUGGGACAAGAAGAGGGUCUCCUGACCCCAGUGCAGAGGCUCCUGCUGCCUGCUCCCAAACCACCACCAGGAGACAGCACCUGCUGAAUCAGCGCAGAUGACUUAGAGAUAGGGUGGCCUGAUAGCUGUUUGGGAGUAUUUUAUCAUCUGGGUAGCAGACGCUGUGAGAUGCUUUGCAUUUCGAUUUCAUCCACUUAACUCUACAUCAAUCCUCGCUGCUUUAAGCAACCCACUUUUGGGGAUGAUUUUUCUUUCUUUCUUUCUUUUUUUUUUUAAACCAGUAAUCCUUCUAAGUCAGCAUUCCUCCUAAACUAAGAGCAAUCGCCAUCUAGUGGCUUGAAGAUCACGGUAAAAUUUCCCACAAAAGCUUUGUAUGUAGGCCAAAGGAACCAGGGAGUUUUUAACCACCUGGAAGAGAACCUGCUGGAUCUUCACGUCCAACACCCUCAUGUUACAACUGAGAAAAAUGAGGCUCCGGAGAAGGAAGCAACGUGCUGAAGGCCUCACAGGAGAUCAGUGGAGCCAGGAGCGCCCUUGACCACACGGAUGCCAUCAAGCCAAAGCAGUUCUCCCCACGGAAGAUCUCCAUCAACAUGGUCGAUGGCUGGACGGACACCUGCUUUUGUCGAAUGGACUGAACAGUGUGCUGU